rnacentral:rRNA from 1 species
UACAGAGGUCCCAAGCGUUGUUCGGAUUCACUGGGCGUAAAGGGUGCGUAGGUGGUGGGGUAAGUCUCGUGUGAAAGCUCGCAGCUUAACUGCGAAAAGUCACGGGAUACUAUUCCGCUGGAGGCUUGGAGGGGGGACUGGAAUACUUGGUGUAGCAGUGAAAUGCGUAGAUAUCAAGUGGAACACCGGUGGCGAAGGCGGCUGCCUGGACCGAUAUUGACGCUGAGACGCGAAAGCGUGGGUAGCAAACAGG